rnacentral:rRNA from 1 species
UGGGGAAUUUUGGGACAAUGGGGGAAACCCGUGAUCCAGCCAUCCCCGCGUGUGCGAUGAAGGCCUUCGGGUUGUAAAGCACUUUUGGCAGGAAAGAAACGUCGCGGGUUAAUACCCCGCGAAACUGACGGUACCUGCAGAAUAAGCACCGGCUAACUACGUGCCAGCAGCCGCGGUAAUACGUAGGGUGCAAGCGUUAAUCGGAAUUACUGGGCGUAAAGCGUGCGCAGGCGGUUCGGAAAGAAAGAUGUGAAAUCCCAGAGCUUAACUUUGGAACUGCAUUUUUAACUACGGGCUAGAGUGUGUCAGAGGGAGGUGGAAUUCCGCGUGUAGCAUGAAAUGCGUAGAUAUGCGGNGGAACACCGAUGGCGAAGGCAGCCUCCUGGGAUAACACUGACGCUCAUGCACGAAAGCGUGGGGAGCAAACAGGAUUAGAUACCCCC